AGUGAACGCUGGUGGUAUGCCUAACACAUGCAAGUCGAACGGCAGCACAGUAAGAGCUUGCUCUUACUGUUGGCGAGUGGCGGGCGGGUGAGGAAUACAUCGGAAUCUACUUUUUCUUGGGGGAUAACGUAGGGAAGCUUACGCUAAUACCGCAUACGACCUACGGGUGAAAGCAGGAGAUCUUCGGACCUUUCGCGAUUCAAUUAGCCGAUGUCGGAUUAGCUAGUUGGCGAGGUAAAGGCCCACCAAGGCGACGAUCCGUAGCUGGUCUGAGAGGAUGAUCAGCCACACUGGAACUGAGACACGGUCCAGACUCCUACGGGAGGCAGCAGUGGGGAAUAUUGGACAAUGGGCGAAAGCCUGAUCCAGCCAUACCGCGUGGGUGAAGAAGGCCUUCGGGUUGUAAAGCCCUCUUGUUGGGAAAGAAAAGCAGCAGGUUAAUACCCCGAUGUUCUGACGGUACCUAAAGAAUAAGCAACGGCUAACUUCGUG
rnacentral:rRNA from 1 species